rnacentral:rRNA from 1 species
UGGGGAAUAUUGCACAAUGGGCGAAAGCCUGAUGCAGCAACGCCGCGUGAGUGAUGAAGGUCUUCGGAUUGUAAAGCUCUGUCUUUUGGGACGAUAAUGACGGUACCAAAGGAGGAAGCCACGGCUAACUACGUGCCAGCAGCCGCGGUAAUACGUAGGUGGCGAGCGUUGUCCGGAUUUACUGGGCGUAAAGGGUGCGUAGGCGGAUGUUUAAGUGAGAUGUGAAAUACCCGGGCUUAACUUGGGUGCUGCAUUUCAAACUGGAUAUCUAGAGUGCAGGAGAGGAGAAUGGAAUUCCUAGUGUAGCGGUGAAAAUGCGUAGAGAUUAGGAAGAACACC